GCGGGCGUGGCGGAACUGGCAGACGCGCUGGAUUUAGGAUCCAGUGCCGCAAGGCGUGGAGGUUCAAGGCCUCUCGUCCGCACCA
rnacentral:tRNA from 1 species